GAUGAACGCUAGCUACAGGCUUAACACAUGCAAGUCGAGGGGCAGCAUGGAAGAAGCUUGCUUCUUCUGAUGGCGACCGGCGCACGGGUGCGUAACGCGUAUCAAACCUGCCUCAUACUCGGGGAUAGCCUUGCGAAAGUAAGAUUAAUACCCGAUGUUGUUAUGUUUCCGCAUGGUGAUGUAACCAAAGAUUUAUCGGUAUGAGAUGGUGAUGCGUCCGAUUAGGUAGUAGGCGGGGUAACGGCCCACCUAGCCAUCGAUCGGUAGGGGUUCUGAGAGGAAGGUCCCCCACACUGGAACUGAGACACGGUCCAGACUCCUACGGGAGGCAGCAGUGAGGAAUAUUGGUCAAUGGACGGAAGUCUGAACCAGCCAAGUAGCGUGCAGGAUGACGGCCCUCCGGGUUGUAAACUGCUUUUAGUUGGGAAUAAAAAGAGGGACGUGUCCCUAAUUGUAUGUACCUUCAGAAAAAGGACCGGCUAAUUCCGUGCCAGCAGCCGCGGUAAUACGGAAGGUCCAGGCGUUAUCCGGAUUUAUUGGGUUUAAAGGGAGCGUAGGCGGAUUAUUAAGUCAGUGGUGAAAGACGGUGGCUCAACCAUCGUUAGCCAUUGAAACUGGUAGUCUUGAGUGCAGACAGGGAUGCUGGAACUCGUGGUGUAGCGGUGAAAUGCUUAGAUAUCACGAUGAACUCCGAUCGCGAAGGCAGGUGUCCGGGCUGCAACUGACGCUGAGGCUCGAAAGUGUGGGUAUCAAACAGG
rnacentral:rRNA from 1 species